rnacentral:rRNA from 1 species
CUAAGGAAUUGACGGGGGCCCGCACACGCAGUGGAGCAUGUGGUUUAAUUUGAAGCAACGCGAAGAACCCUACCAGGUCUUGACAUCCUUUGACAAUCCUAGAGAUAGGACUUUCUCCUUCUGGGGACAAAGUGACAGGUGGUGCAUGGUUGUCGUCAGCUCGUGUCGUGAGAUGUUGGGUUAAGUCCCGCAACGAGCGCACCCCUUGAUCUUAGUUGCCAGCAUUUAGUUGGGCACUCUAAGGUGACUGCCGGUGACAAACCGGAGGAAGGUGGGGAGGACGUCAAAUCAUCAUGCCCCUUAUGACCUGGGCUACACACGUGCUACAAUGGAUGGUACAAAGAGCAGCAAAACCGCGAGGUCGAGCCAAUCUCAUAAAGCCAUUCUCAGUUCGGAUUGUAGGCUGCAACUCGCCUACACGAAGCCGGAAUUGCUAGUAAUCGCGGAUCAGCAUGCCGCGGUGAAUACGUUCCCGGGCCUUGUACACACCGCCCGUCACACCACGAGAGUUUGUAACACCCGAAGUCGGU